UAGGGAAUCUUCGGCAAUGGGGGCAACCCUGACCGAGCAACGCCGCGUGAGUGAAGAAGGUUUUCGGAUCGUAAAGCUCUGUUGUAAGAGAAGAACGUGUGUGAGAGUGGAAAGUUCACACAGUGACGGUAACUUACCAGAAAGGGACGGCUAACUACGUGCCAGCAGCCGCGGUAAUACGUAGGUGCCGAGCGUUUUCCGGAUUCAUUGGGCGUAAAGCGAGCGCAGGCGGUUUAAUAAGUCUGAAGUUAAAGGCAGUGGCUUAACUCUUGUUCGCUUUGGAAACUGUUAAACUUGAGUGCAGAAGGGGAGAGUGGAAUUCCAUGUGUAGCGGUGGAAUGCGUAGAUAUAUGGAGGAACACCGGUGGCGAAAGCGGCUCUCUGGUCUGUAACUGACGCUGAGGCUCGAAAGCGUGGGGAGCAAACAGG
rnacentral:rRNA from 1 species